GCGUGCUGCCAGGCGGUGCGCGCUGCGCGUUGCCGGGCGGUGUGCGCUGCCGGGUGGUGCAUGCUGCUGGGCAGCCCGCUGUGCGUGCUGCUGCCUAUGACUGCGCCGCAGUGUGCUACCGGGUGGUGUGUCCAUAACAGACCUUUUUUGUCUACCACAAAUAAAUAAAAAAAAAAACAAGUCCAAUCUCCCAGGUGGCCUCCAUGGAUAAGUUCUGAUUAAGCGCUUUUGCAGGUAAUGGGCAAUCACUGUAUGGAUGGUGAAUGUGAGUGAAAUUUCUAUUUUUGUUAGCUUUGCAAGUUUUGUUGUCCCAUUUAUGUUUUGCUUCACAUUCAUAAUUCUCAUCACUUUGUUAAGGUUCAAUGAGUUUUUGAAACACUCAAAGUUGGUCAUCCACCAAAACAAGGAUCUUUAGAAGAACAUAUCCACUGCAACGAAAAGGAGAGAUUUUCUUUUCCUCUUUUACCGUAACAAGAAAGUAUCAGUAACAGGAUUGCUUAAGACUGCUUAACACAUGACAACUUCCCAACUUCAAAAAUGGCUGCGAAACAAAGGACUCUCAUGUGCAACGUCAAGGCAACAAGGUGAUUAAGCUCCCAGAAGGCCAGAACCACCAUCUCCUUUCCAGAAUGUUUCUGUGCAAUAGGGUUGAAUGUGACAAAGGUCUUUACCAUUUAUUCCACAAAAAUCCAGAAAUUAAUUAUAAUGGUUCCAUGUAUCUUCUUUACUUUAUCAAAAGGCUAUUAAAGAGGGUCUUGGGAGGGGUAUACUGGGUGCGGUCCUAACCUUCUACUCCAAAGGCUAUUACCCAAUCUUCUUUACUAUGUAGAAAGUACAAUGAUGAAAAUAAGAAUAAGGUUUAUCCCCAUUUACUCUUCUACUCAACUUUUUUAUUAUAAAUGACAGUUCUAUGACUAAACAUAGCCGUUAUUGUCCUCUAGUCAUUAUGUUACUAUAACUGGUUUGGGGGAAUUUCUUCACAGAUGUGAAUUUUCCAACUGUGACCAUGAGGUCACCCGAGGAGAUAUAUUCAAAUUGAUUGAAGUUGAUGGAGCUGCAUGCAUGUGUCUGUUCAAAGAUACAAACCUAUUCAGGAUGCAUGCAUCUGAUUAAAUUUUCAGGUCUGUAAUGUUAUUUACUGAAGCAUGUCUAGGAGUAAAUUUUUUAUGCACUUUCAACAACAUAUAGAGUUGAUGUAUGGAUAAACCAGUUUCAAGAUGAUGACUGAGAAUAGGUUUCAAUGUUUGGUGGUUAGCAAAUGCGCUGAUUGUACACCCCAAAACCUUGCAGUAUAAUUUCUCCCUUAUUGAUGAUAUUAAAUAUUGUUUGAUAUUACUCCUGUAAUUGAAUUUCUGUUUAAAUGUUGUUUAUUAUAUAUAGUUACAUACUGGUCAAGAAAAAGAAAAACAAGAUUAUCACUCUUAUUCUGCCAUUCAAAUAUGUGUUUAAGUAUCUGACAUUCCUGUCACUAAAUUUAGUAGUUUGUAUCCUCUUGUCAGUAAAUCAGUAAAUCACCAAUACCAUACAAAUCUUCUUAUGCCCUAUGAUCACCUCUGAGGUCUUUCCUUGUAUUGAGAUUGAUACAGCCAUAUGCAUUAGUACAAAUAUAUGUGGUUAUUGCUCCUAAGGUGUAAACUAACCAACAUAAGACAUACCUGACAAUCUCUGUAAUUUUACAGCGCAUGUUUGUGCCUAGAUAUGGGUAGAAGAUAAAUUGGAUUUUGGAACAUAGAUGGAUUUCUAUAGAACCAGCAGUUGUAGCUUAGCAAAACAGAGUUGGAUGCAUUUCAAGGAUACUGGACAGUGGGCUAAAAUAAAAUGAAAUAUUUUAUCUUCAGGCAUGUCUUCAAGAAGUAACUGUUCCAGAAACACCAAUCAUCCAAUGGAGAAGUUUCAAGACUGAAAUUUUUUGACAAGAGUGAAAAAUUCUUCUGCCAAGUAUUUUGACAUCUCUACGAGGAAGUUCUUUGAAAUGAAUUCCUCUUAAAAGUGAUGGUUCAGAUAAAAUGCUCCUUGGCUGAAACUCAUACAAAGCAUUCCUGGUUCUUACUCGAGUUUGAGAAUGGAGCUCUUGGGGGCUGGCAUAAGUUCUAAUCCCUGAGAUUUGGUUGCAAUGCUUACCCUCCUUUUUUUUAUGACAUUUGGAGGGUUAAUGAAGUUCCUUUUCCAUUUCCAAAUUGAAAUGUCUGUCUACUUAGGAAUCUAGUAUCUGAGUUUAGUUGUAAGCAAAAAACUGCUUGUGGUACUGAAUUGUUACAUGGGUUUCUAUUUUUCAUCCUUUUAUCAAAAUUGCAUUUUAAUGUUUUUUU